rnacentral:rRNA from 1 species
AGUGAACGCUGGCGGUAGGCCUAACACAUGCAAGUCGAACGGCAGCACAGGAGAGCUUGCUCUCUGGGUGGCGAGUGGCGGACGGGUGAGGAAUACAUCGGAAUCUACUCUGUCGUGGGGGAUAACGUAGGGAAACUUACGCUAAUACCGCAUACGACCUACGGGUGAAAGCAGGGGACCUUCGGGCCUUGCGCGAUUGAAUGAUCCGAUGUCGGAUUAGCUAGUUGGCGGGGUAAAGGCCCACCAAGGCGACGAUCCGUAGCUGGUCUGAGAGGAUGAGCAGCCACGCUGGAACUGAGACACGGUCCAGACUCCUACGGAGGCAGCAGUGGGGAAUAUUGGACAAUGGGCGCAAGCCUGAUCUAGCCAUACCGGGUGGGUGAAGAAGGCCUUCGGGUUGUAAAGCCCUUUUGUUGGGAAAGAAAUCCAGCUGGCUAAUACCCGGUUGGGAUGACGGUACCCAAAGAAUAAGCACCGGCUAACUUCGUGCCAGCCGCCGCGGUAA